GGCGAUCGCCUCCUUCCGGCCCGGUAGGGCCGCCUGUGGGCUGACGAUGUUGGAGGCGGAGUUACCCAUUCUCCGGACGGAGAAGAGGCUCUGGAAGAGCUGGUGGGCCGUCCUGGUGGCGGCGAGCAUGGGCGGAAUAAGACAGAAGUGAUGGUGUGUGACCUCUGAGACUAAGCCAUAGAAGGCAAGGCAGCUUCCUUCUUGCUCACUUUUGGAUCACUCCCUCUGGGGGAAGCAAGCUGUCACAUCAUGAAGAUUCUCAAUCAGCCCAAUGGAGAAGCCCACAUGGUGAGGAAAGGAGGUCUCCUGCCAAGGGCCAGGUUGCAAAGCCUCUACAAACCCAUUUCUGAAGUCAGGUGGUGACACUGAUCAGCUGGCAGGCUGAAUAGGAGGAAGCCAGCCUAGCGUUUUCUGCAGAACAGCGCCUGGAAAUGACAUUGGGGUCCAGUGACUGGUGGGAGACCCAGAGCGAGGUGAAGAUCUGGAUUCAGGAAGAUGUUAUGGAUAGUUCUAAAAAUAAAUAUUUCCACCAAGCGUAUGUCCGGCUGCAUUAAUAUCCUACACCAGAAGUCAGAGUGCUGAGUCACUCUUGGCCAGGGCAAGCUGUCACUUCUUAACUUCACCCUUGUUCGGAGCACUGAACCCCGGACCCGACCAGCACGACGAGACGGAACGUGAGGAGGGAUGAGAGUGGCCAGUAUGGAGCUAUGAAAAAUGCACCUCUGUCUUUUCCUGGCUACCUCAGACUGAGGGGAAAUUCCAACCAAGGUCACUCCUGGGAAAUAUCAACCUUAUUCAUCUACUGGAACUUUAAAUUAAAAAGCUACCUAAUUCUUUGAGGGGAGAGGAUUGUUUCCCUUCUAUCAAUAAGUCAAUUUUCCCCUCUCAUUUUCCAUCUUAUAUAUUUGAAAAGAAACUCAUUCCAGUUAAUAUGAAAAUGAGUAGCCAGAAAUUAUGAAGGAUACUUAUGGAUGCAGCUCUUGUGAUUCACCAAGUCUGUCUGUUAAUCUAGGUAUCAACAAUACACUUAUUUUUCAAUCAUUUAAAUGCUCUCAGUAUACAUCUGCUCUUGCAACCAAUCGGAACAUCUUUGCAUUAUAAGGAAUGCACUAAUGGAAAGAUACUAAGCCCCUUCAUUAACAUUAAAAGGUCCAUGUCACUUUCAGGCAAUCAGUAGAGACCAUCCUAAAGGGAAGGAUGAUGUCCACACAAGGAUAGUAUUGGAAUGAAUUUGACCCUUGUGGGAAAAACCCUCAGCCCAACCAGAACAGGCUAUUGUUCAGUUUUCCCUUAUUGAAAUGUUCAAAAGUAAAAAAAUAUAUACCUAUUUCCCCACAUUUCUGCUCAAACAUUUAUUAUUGUCUUUAUUAAACCCUGCAUGGUCAGAUAAACAAAAAAUAGAGAUUUCUCCAUGAGACCAAGCACUUUCUAUAAAAUAUUUUGACAUUUAAUAAGGUAAGUAUUCCUUUUUUAUUAUUCUUUUUCAAAAUUAUUUUGGUUCUUCUCCCUAUUCAUUCUUGUUGUCAGAUUUUUGAAUAAGUUUGUCAAUUGCUCCCCCAAAUCCUUCAGGGUUUUGAUUGAAAUCUUUUUAUUUUUAUGUCAUAACCUGGUGAAAACAAACAUCUUCAGUCUUCCUAUCCAUGAAAGUGAUAGGUCUCUCCAUUUCUUCUUUUUUCUUUUCCUGCCUCAGUGAAUUACAGCAUUUUCUGUAUGUGGGUCUAUUAAGUUCAUUCACUGUUAUUUUGCGACAGCUUUGCUGCACUUAAAAUGUGUCCAAAAGUGCAAGCCAGAGUGAUACUUAAAGAACUGAAGUAUUUCUAUUAUGGUAUUUUAAGAAAU